rnacentral:rRNA from 1 species
UGGGGAAUAUUGCGCAAUGGGGGGAACCCUGACGCAGCCAUGCCGCGUGAAUGAAGAAGGCCUUCGGGUUGUAAAGUUCUUUCGGUAUUGAGGAAGGUUGAUGUGUUAAUAGCACAUCAAAUUGACGUUAAAUACAGAAGAAGCACCGGCUAACUCCGUGCCAGCAGCCGCGGUAAUACGGAGGGUGCGAGCGUUAAUCGGAAUAACUGGGCGUAAAGGGCACGCAGGCGGUUAUUUAAGUGAGGUGUGAAAGCCCCGGGCUUAACCUGGGAAUUGCAUUUCAGACUGGGUAACUAGAGUACUUUAGGGAGGGGUAGAAUUCCACGUGUAGCGGUGAAAUGCGUAGAGAUGUGGAGGAAUACCGAAGGCGAAGCNAGCCCCUUGGGAAUGUACUGACGCUCAUGUGCGAAAGCGUGGGGAGCAAACAGGAUUAGAUACCCUGGUAGUCCACGCUGUAAACGCUGUCGAUUUGGGGGUUGGGGUUUAACUCUGGCGCCCGUAGCUAACGUGAUAAAUCGACCGCCUGGGGAGUACGGCCGCAAGGUUA